rnacentral:lncRNA from 1 species
UCGAGGCUCAAAUUCAAGAAGGAACAUGAAUUAACGAUCACCCAAGCUAGGGGAUCAUAAGGAAUCAUGUCAAGAUGGAUGGGAGCGUUGAAGGCUAACGGGCUAAGAAGACUCAAUCAAGUAAGCGAACGAAAAUACGGACGCGCAAAGCUAUACAUGUUUGGAUGUUUCAUCUAGAAGUGUACGCGGUUGAAGAUCGAGUCAAGACACGGAUUGUAUGUGGGUGUGUACGUAGUCACUUAAAUUGAGACAUGUAUGUUAGUUUUUGGAUUAAUU